rnacentral:rRNA from 1 species
GAUGAACGCUAGCUACAGGCUUAACACAUGCAAGUCGAGGGGAAACGAUAUUGGAAGCUUGCUUCCGAUAGGCGUCGACCGGCGCACGGGUGAGUAACGCGUAUCCAACCUGCCCACCACUUGGGGAUAACCUUGCGAAAGUAAGACUAAUACCCAAUGAUAUCUCUAGAAGACAUCUGAAAGAGAUUAAAGAUUUAUCGGUGAUGGAUGGGGAUGCGUCUGAUUAGCUUGUUGGCGGGGUAACGGCCCACCAAGGCGACGAUCAGUAGGGGUUCGGAGAGGAAGGUCCCCCACAUUGGAACUGAGACGCGGUCCAAACUCCUACGGGAGGCAGCAGUGAGGAAUAUUGGUCAAUGGGCGAGAGCCUGAACCAGCCAAGUAGCGUGCAGGAUGACGGCCCUAUGGGUUGUAAACUGCUUUUAUAAGGGAAUAAAGUGAGAGUCGUGACUCUUUUUGCAUGUACCUUAUGAAUAAGGACCGGCUAAUUCCGUGCCAGCCGCCGCAGUAAAAC